CCCCCUGCUGGUCACUACACAGAAGUAGAGUCAUUUCCUCAUGGACGUCUAUGGGAGCAGAGGAGUCGCCCCCUGCUGGUCACCUGCUAGUAGUAUGGAUGUAUGGCCACGUGAGAAUUCGCCGAUGGAGCCUGUUGGGCUCCGCGUCCUCCCUCCAUCGCUAACUAUGGUAACAAACACAGUACUUUAACCCCAACGACGCUUGUCCGCUAAACCAACAAAGUACGUUUGUUGCUGGUGGCUCACGACUACGAGGAUUACGCACUAAUCCUUGUGUGGGAAUUACAGACUCUCGUUUCUAUUCGUUCUGGAUAAGAACCUUCUGGAAUGAGCAGAGUACAAGUCGGAUUGUCCAGGACUGACCACACGGGAUGAGCUCUACCACGGCUCCUUGUCCUCCUCCUCAGGAGCCUCGGGCUCAGCAGGAGAGCAAAUAGCAGCGAGACCUUCUCUUCUCCCUGGUGCCACUGCUCUGUUUCCCUUGUCUUCAGACUUUCAGGAAUCAGGAAACAUUUAUUGGCAAAAUAUGUUAAACAUACAAGGAAUUUGACUUUGCGGUUGGUGCGUGACAGUAGACAGUGUGACAAUAGACAACAAGACAGCAGCGCACAAGUAAUAAAAUAAAAUGAAUGAGUCGAGUAGGAAUCCAUCAGGAUUAAGGGACAUUUAAAAUCCCUCACUCUUUACCCCCUGCAGUGAGUCAACGCCGUCACGCUGUAACGUGUGUGUGUGUGUGUGGACCACCGAGCUCUACCGCAGCUCCGAGUGAUGAAAUACAUCUUUACCCUUUAUAUGAAUCAUCUCAAAUGCCUUUAGAUUUAAAAAAUAUUCAUUUUUAUUUUGUAAUCGUGUUUUAAUUGUCUUUGAACCAAUUGGAUGUCAGUGAUUAUGUUGCUGUCAAGGUGCCUCUCUUUACUUAACGGCAUGUUCCCGGACUUGAUGGUGAUUGGUACCUGAAUGCACCAUUAAGCAGGAGCAUCUGAAGGAGUGGUGCCUUCAGGUGCUCCUCGUGUAAUCGGGGAAGUCCUCCGCUUUAUUUUUGAAUCACGGAACCUUUUUCUUAAGGGGGAAAAAGAAGAAAUAACCGUGAAACCAGUAGAUUGUUAUUAUUAUUCAUUUAUUUGUAUUAUUAAUAAUAAUAAUAAUAAUAAUAAUAAUAAUAACAGCACCAGCUUGUUCUGCGGUGAAUUCUGGACCUGUAAAGACCCACCUGACCCCCGCGGCUCCAGACCUCCUCCCCUCGUGUGUGUGUGUGUGUGUCUGUGUGUGUUGUACAGCAGCUGUACCAUUAUUACACCUCUGGGGGGGGGGGGGCGUGAUUAUCAAUCUGCAGAAAGGGAGCGUGGGCCGGGCGAGGGGUCCGCAGUGUGAAGCCGUUGACAGGUCAAUUAUUCCACCGGCUGAACUACAGCGUGUAAUAUGUGAGCCCCCCAGGGUUAAAACACGCCACCUCCUAUGUACACAACCCCCCCUCGAGGUUCACCCCCGGAAACAGCCGUGUCACGCUGCUGCACAUGAUGAGGGCUGCGGGCAGAGGGUCAAAGGUCGGGGCAGGGGGGGGGGGCUCAGGGGUGAAUGAAGUUUCAUUAUUUUAUAACAACUUACACUCAAGAUUUAUUCCUGAUGAAGAGGAGCAGAGGCUGAUGAAGAGGAGCUGAGGCUGAUGAAGAGGAGCAGAGGCUGAUGAAGAGGAGCAGAGGCUGAUGAAGAGGAGCUGGGGCUGAUGAAGAGGAGCUGGGGCUGAUGAAGAGGAGCAGAGGCUGAUGAAGAGGAGCUGGGGCUGAUGAAGAGGAGCAGAGGCUGAUGAAGAGGAGCAGAGGCUGAUGAAGAUAAGCGGAGGCUGAUGAAGAGGAGCGGAGGCUGAUGAAGAGGAGCUGGGACUCUCAUAGGUCAGGAUUUUAGCUUCAGCUGGUGCAGAUCUCCUUG
ensembl:lncRNA